CCGUGGCUAAUACCGGAUAAUACUUUUAUACAACGGUAUAAAAGUUGAAAGAUGGAUUUCUAUCACUUAAGGAUGGGCCUGCGGCGCAUUAGCUAGUUGGUAAGGUAACGGCUUACCAAGGCGACGAUGCGUAGCCGACCUGAGAGGGUGAUCGGCCACACUGGAACUGAGACACGGUCCAGACUCCUACGGGAGGCAGCAGUAGGGAAUCUUCCGCAAUGGGCGAAAGCCUGACGGAGCAACGCCGCGUGUGCGAAGAAGGUCUUCGGAUCGUAAAGCACUGUUGUUAAGGAAGAACGACAGUAAGAGUAACUGCUUACUGUGUGACGGUACUUAACCAGAAAGCCACGGCUAACUACGUGCCAGCAGCCGCGGUAAUACGUAGGUGGCAAGCGUUAUCCGGAAUUAUUGGGCGUAAAGCGCGCGUAGGCGGCGAGAUUAGUCUGAUGUGAAAGCCCCCGGCUCAACCGGGGAAGGUCAUUGGAAACUGUUUCGCUUGAGUGCAGAAGAGGAGAGUGGAAUUCCAUGUGUAGCGGUGAAAUGCGCAGAGAUAUGGAGGAACACCAGUGGCGAAGGCGGCUCUCUGGUCUGCAACUGACGCUGAUGUGCGAAAGCGUGGGGAUCAAACAGGAUUAGAUACCCUGGUAGUCCACGCCGUAAACGAUGAGUGCUAAGUGUUAGGGGGUUUCCGCCCCUCAGUGCUGCAGCUAAC
rnacentral:rRNA from 1 species